rnacentral:rRNA from 1 species
AGCGCAACCCUCGCUGUGUGUUAUAUGUGUCACACGGGACUGCCGGUCUUAAGCCGGAGGAAGGUGGGAUGAUGUCAAGUCAGCAUGGCCUUUAUAUCCUGGGCUACACACACGCUACAAUGGCCAACACAAUAGGUUGCUAAGCCGCGAGGUGGGCGCCAAUCCAAUAGAGUUGGUCUCAGUUCAGAUUGUAGGCUGCAACCCGCCUGCAUGAAGAUGGAGUUGCUAGUAACCGCAGGUCAGCUAUACUGCGGUGAAUACGUUCCCGGGGCUU